rnacentral:rRNA from 1 species
UCAGCCGCCGCGGUAAUACCAGCACCUCGAGUGGUCAGGACGUUUAUUGGGCCUAAAGCAUCCGUAGCCGGCUUUGCAAGUCUUCGGUUAAAUCCACCUGCUCAACAGAUGGGCUGCUGGAGAUACUACAAAGCUAGGGAGGGGGAGAGGCAGACGGUAUUCAGUGGGUAGGGGUAAAAUCCUCUGAUCCAUUGAGGACCACCAGUGGCGAAGGCGGUCUGCCAGAACACGUUCGACGGUGAGGGAUGAAAGCUGGGGGAGCAAACCGGAUUAGAUACCCGGGUAGUCCCAGCUGUAAACGAUGCAAACUCGGUGAUGCAUUGGCUUAUGGCCAAUGCAGUGCCGCAGGGAAGCCGUUAAGUUUGCCGCCUGGGAAGUACGGACGC